rnacentral:rRNA from 1 species
AUCAUGGCUCAGGAUGAACGCUGGCGGCGUGCUUAACACAUGCAAGUCGAACGGGAAAUAUUUCAUUGAGACUUCGGUGGAUUUGAUCUAUUUCUAGUGGCGGACGGGUGAGUAACGCGUGGGUAACUUGCCUUAUACAGGGGGAGUAACAGUCAGAAAUAGGCUGCUAAUACCGCAUAAGCGCACAGAGCUGCAUGGCUCAGUGUGAAAAACUACCGGUGGUAUAAGAAUGG